GACGAACGCUGGCGGCGUGCCUAAUACAUGCAAGUUGAGCGCUGAAGGUUGGUACUUGUACCAACUGGAUGAGCAGCGAACGGGUGAGUAACGCGUGGGGAAUCUGCCUUUGAGCGGGGGACAACAUUUGGAAACGAAUGCUAAUACCGCAUAAAAACUUUAAACACAAGUUUUAAGUUUGAAAGAUGCAAUUGCAUCACUCAAAGAUGAUCCCGCGUUGUAUUAGCUAGUUGGUGAGGUAAAGGCUCACCAAGGCGAUGAUACAUAGCCGACCUGAGAGGGUGGUAGGCCACCUUGGGACUGAGACACGGCACAAAGUGAUACGGGAGGCAGCAGUAGGGAAUCGUCGGCAAUGGACGAAAGUCUGACCGAGCAACGCCGAGGGAGUGAAGAAGGUUUUCGGAUCGUAAAACUCUGUUGGUAGAGAAGAACGUUGGUGAGAGUGGAAAGCUCAGCAAGUGACGGUAACUACCCAGAAAGGGACGGCUAACUACGUG
rnacentral:rRNA from 1 species